rnacentral:miRNA from 1 species
AUUCACAUAUGGGUGAAAGGAAAUCACAUGUGGGUUACUUCAUUCACCCACAUGUGAUGUCCUUUCACCCAUAUGUGAAU